GAUGAAGAACGCAGCGAAAUGCGAUAAGUAGUGUGAAUUGCAGAAUUCAGUGAAUCAUCGAAUCUUUGAACGCACAUUGCGCCCGCCAGUAUUCUGGCGGGCAUGCCUGUUCGAGCGUCAUUUCAACCCUCAGGCCCCCAGUGCCUGGCGUUGGGGAUCGGCGCGGCGCCCUCCGGGGCGCUGCCGGCCCCGAAAUUCAGUGGCGGUCUCGCUGUAGCCCUCCUCCGCGUAGUAGCACAACCUCGCGGCCUGGAGCUCGGCGGUGGCCAUGCCGUAAAACACCCCACUUCUGAAAGUUGACCUCGGAUCAGGUAGGAAUACCCGCUGAACUUAAGCAUAUCAAUAAGCGGAGGA
rnacentral:misc_RNA from 1 species